rnacentral:ncRNA from 1 species
CAACGCAAUAUGUGCGUUUUAUGCGGAUACCAUCCGCGUAGUGGCUAAACCCACAUCGGACUUCUAUAAGAGAAACAACAUG